UGAAUCCUACGGGAGGCAGCAGUGGGGAAUAUUGCGCAAUGGGCGAAAGCCUGACGCAGCGACGCCGCGUGAGGGAUGAAGGUCUUCGGAUCGUAAACCUCUGUCAGCAGGGAAGAACGGUCACUGUGCUAAUCAGCAGUGAAUUGACGGUACCUGCAAAGGAAGCACCGGCUAACUCCGUGCCAGCAGCUGCGGUAAUACGGAGGGUGCGAGCGUUAAUCGGAAUUACUGGGCGUAAAGCGCUCGUAGGCGGUAUGUCAAGUCAAGGGUGAAAUCCCCGCGCUCAACGUGGGCACUGCCUUUUG
rnacentral:rRNA from 1 species